UACGUAGGGUGCGAGCGUUGUCCGGAAUUACUGGGCGUAAAGAGCUCGUAGGUGGUUUGUCGCGUUGUUCGUGAAAACUCACAGCUCAACUGUGGGCGUGCGGGCGAUACGGGCAGACUGGAGUACUGCAGGGGAGACUGGAAUUCCUGGUGUAGCAGUGAAAUGCGUAGAGAUCAUGAGGAAGACCAGUGGCGAAGGCGGGUCUCUGGACAGUUCCUGACACUGAGGCACGAAGGCCAGGGGAGCAAACGGG
rnacentral:rRNA from 1 species